AAAAAAUUGAACUCUGCAAUCUGCAAAAAUCUAUGUAGAUUCACUCCAAAUGCAAUCUCCAACUACCUCUUCAAUUCUGUAAGAAAAAAUAAUCAAAAUCUGAUAGUAUCAAAAAAUGGAGGUGGAGAGGUGGGUUGGGUUUGUUGAAUUGAUGAACAAACCAGCUAUAAUGGAAACAUUCGUCGACAUUUUGGUUUGCGUUGUACCGAUUUGGGUUGCCAUCAUGAUCGGAUUGUUGAUCGGCUGGUCUUGGCGACCUCGUUGGACCGGUCUUAUAUUUUUAGGACUCCGGUCUAAAAUCAACCGCUUUGUUUGGACCCUUCCUCCCGGAUUUGGUGCUCGACGACUCUGGUUAGCCUUUACUGCUCUUUCGGCCUUCUCCGUUGGCAGGAAACUCUGGUUUAAUUUCCAGGGGAGGACACGUAAGCCUCCGGUGGCGGCCGCGGAUUCGGGUUCGGUGGAUGAAUUUGGAUCAUCUUCAGUGGUUUCGGGUCCGGGUUCGGUUUCUUUUGCACAAAGGAACGAUGAUUGCAUAAUCAGGCAUAUUACAGGAUCGGAAAAUGAGGACAUUGUGACAGAGAGAGAUCUGGAACACUUUCUACAUCUUCUAGAUGGAAAGGAUGGAGAGAUGGCAUGGCAAACCAUGAUGGACCGCUCUACUUCAAACUUCACAUACCAAGCUUGGCGGCAUGAACCCGAGGUGGGCCCAACAAUCUACCGAACCAAAACUGUUUUUGAAGAUGCAACUCCGGAUUUAGUCAGAGAUUUCUUCUGGGAUGAUGAG
rnacentral:misc_RNA from 1 species